rnacentral:ncRNA from 2 species
GGCUGGACCGCCGAAGUCGGUGUUAGGCUGCCCGAGGAAGCGGACAAGGGAAUCCGGUGAGAAUCCGGAGCUGACGCGCAGCGGUAACGGCGUUGUCGCCAAGUACGCCACUGGACGGGAUCGUCCGGGAAGGUUCUGGGGACGGGAAAGCUGAAGCCCGAAGACCUGCCGUCUCCGGUUGGUAUCC